CGAGUUUAAUGGUCCGGAAUAACACACGGCUGCAAAUUGUUUUAAAUGAUAGAAUAAUAUAUAUAUUUUAAUUUUCGUCGGGUCGUAAAAAGCUUCUUUGGUCACAUUUUUGUAUUUUAUUCCUUUAAUUGGGGUACCCCUCGAUUUACGGUUUUGGGUAGUUACCUUAAAAUCCAAAAAUAUAUUUUUUGGUUAAAUUUCCCGCUAUUUUCGUAAAUAUUUUCUAUGCACAUAUCAUCAAGGAUCAUCGGAAUGAUGAAGACAUAAAUAUAAUACCAUCUCCAAGUAAAACUUUCAAACUUAAAGUUGGCUGUUUUUUUAGAUAGAAAUUUAACGCGUUUUUCUUUGAAAACGAGAAAACAUAUGAUUCAAAAACAGUAUUUGACAUUUGAGAGGACAAAACAUAUUAUUGCGAUACUGCAUGCAAAUUUUGUUGGGCAAAAUUCCAAACAAUUUUGUCAAAAACUCAAAAAUAAAAACAUCAUUUGUACCUUUUUUAAUUACGGAAAUUUCCUAUCCGUCAAUCAGCUCCACCA
rnacentral:lncRNA from 1 species